GUAACCAGCAGAAACACUUCUGUAUUUUAUUUAAUACAAUUACCAUUGAAAGAAAAAAAUUUGAGUCUAUUGAAAACAUCCCCACUUCACUCCAAAAACAAUCCUUGAGGUUUGAAUAUCCAGCUUCAAGAAGAAAGAAGAAGCCACAUGUAAGAAAAAUGUCAAGCAGGGACUUGGGGUGCACAAGAUGAUGGGAGAGGACAAAUCCGGGACAGCUGACCCCAUCUGACCAAAGGGAUAUUCCAUGCCAUAUGGCCUCACGCUCAGGAUAUAAAGACAGGAAAAGAAGGAAGAAGAGGGAGUUAUUCAGAAUGAUGGUGCUUGUCCUCCCCAGUAAUCGUUACACAAUAGGAAGGUCAGCUUAAAAUCAACAAUAAAACUCCAUCUGCUGACAGGAGAUGCAGGAAUUUCUUUUGAAGAAGCUAUGUUCUGCCCAGGCUGCACAACAACCAUCCUACUCCUGUUGGGAUUUAAACCAUAGUGGAGUUCCUCAUCAAGUGAUUUUCAAUGACAGAUCUGAACUCUCUCCUCAGGAACUUAUUUGGAGCAUGCAAGUGUACAGCAAAAAAAGGCAUGUGUUUCAUCUUUGCCCAUGAAACUGAAGUUCUCCCUCUGCUCAUUAUCUGAUGAGAAGCUCUCAUCUUCUUGGGCUAUUAUAUACUACAGGCUGUUAAGCACGGAAAUGCAUUCUUAUCAGCCUUUACUGGACACAUGGAGAACAGUUUCACUUUUGCAUCUUGAUAGAAAGCAAAUGAGAUUGACUGAAAGUAUACUGUACUGCAUGCAUAAUUCUUGUUUACUUUUUUAUCUGUCUGCAUUGUUUGGAUUUGGCUGAGGGUUUUCUGCAAAAGGAUGGUGGUAUUAAAUGUUCCUCAAGGUAAAUAGAGAUUUGAGAAAAUGCGUUAACAUCGGAAUACAGUUUAUCAGAAAAGUUCCCACAUAGUUCAACAUAGGGUGGGGGUUUUUUUAAUGACUGUAGAAGCCUCCCACUCCUUAUAAAAUGCUUGUUACGUUAAUUAUGGGGUCUGUUAGACAACUGAUUUCCCCCAUAUCAAAACAAAGGAAAUACUUCGGAGAACAUGAGACAGUUUCUGAAAAUCAGUAUCUGUGCAUAUCAGUUGCCAUGCAAACUAGUACUCCAGUACUCUGACAAAAUCAACAAGCAAUUAACUAAUUAGUGUUUGUUUCUCAAUAUGUAUGAAGCAUGUGGAUAGGAAGAAAACUGGCUACAAAACAUUCAAAACAGCAUGUGCUUUGUAAUACAAAACAAGCUUAUAAAGGUAUACUAGUCCAGAGAAAGAAAAAUGCUUUAAUAAUUCAUGCCAUGACUAACUCUUUCAGGGUUGUUUCUACACAGCCCUUUUCUAGAGAAAAAUUUGCCUUAUUAAUCCUUCUGUCAUUAGCUCUUUAUAUCUUUUGUCAUAAUUUUAUUGGGAUAUCAGCUGUUUUCUCCAUAUAUUUUCAUGACCUAAUUUUUAAUUCUUCAAGAUGGAGCUUCACUUUGUAGUGUAUGCUUAAGGCAAAAAUAAAAUUAAAUAUACUUAAA